UCCUGAACACCAAUCAGCGCCGAACUUUGUCUUCCAAGCCCUCCACGGGAAGCCGGCCCCCAUCUGACGCCUCUCCUUGGCCCCUCCCACCCCAAACUGGUACCGGUAAAGUCCCGCCCCCACCUGCAGGCUCCGCCCCCGGCCCAGCCCCGGACCGGCGUCCGGGAGCGGACCCGGAAGGGGGGGGCGGACCCAGAGUCAGGUACUUGGGGGCAGGGUCCCCUGCUGGGUAACAGACAGACGUACGAGGAUCCAGGGUGUGGCGGCUGCUUUCUGUCGUGGAGCUGGCCGUCCCGCAGAUGUGCUGCCCUACUGACCACAGGGUCUGGACCAGGCUCCUCUGGGUUCAUAUGGGCAUGCUGGGCUGUUACUGAUGGCCAGUGGGGCCUCAGCUCAGGCAGAGUCCCCGAGGGGCAUGUAGGGGCCCUGGGUCCCUCCCAGCACCAAGAAGGAACCAAAGACUGCCCCUCACGCGCCAGUUCAGCCUGGUAG
rnacentral:lncRNA from 1 species